rnacentral:rRNA from 1 species
UACAGAGGCCCCAAGCAUUAUCCGGAAUCACUGGGCGUAAAGGGUGUCCAGGCGGCCUUGUUAGUCUCUUGUAAAAUCCGUGGGCUCAACCUACGGUCCGCAAGGGAAACGGCAAGGCUCGAGGGCGCGAGAGAUAGAGGGAACUCAUGGUGGAGGGGUGAAAUCCGUUGAUAUCAUGGGGAACACCAAAGGCGAAGGCACUCUAUUGGCGCGUUCCUGACGCUCACACACGAAAGCCAGGGUAGCGAACGGG